AUUGAACGCUGGCGGCAGGCCUAACACAUGCAAGUCGAGCGGAUGAAGGGAGCUUGCUCCUGGAUUCAGCGGCGGACGGGUGAGUAAUGCCUAGGAAUCUGCCUGGUAGUGGGGGAUAACGUCCGGAAACGGGCGCUAAUACCGCAUACGUCCUGAGGGAGAAAGUGGGGGAUCUUCGGACCUCACGCUAUCAGAUGAGCCUAGGUCGGACUAGCUAGUUGGUGGGGUAAAGGCCUACCAAGGCGACGAUCCGUAACUGGUCUGAGAGGGUGAUCAGUCACACUGGAACUGAGACACGGUCCAGACUCCUACGGGAGGCAGCAGUGGGGAAUAUUGGACAAUGGGCGAAAGCCUGAUCCAGCCAUGCCGCGUGUGUGAAGAAGGUCUUCGGAUUGUAAAGCACUUUAAGUUGGGAGGAAGGGCAGUAAGUUAAUACCUUGCUGUUUUGACGUUACCAACAGAAUAAGCACCGGCUAACUUCGUG
rnacentral:rRNA from 1 species